CAAACUUGGUUAUCAUACAUGGAUUGGAUCUCGCUAUCCAUUGCCUCUUUCCAUUUUGCAGACUCCGGGCCUGCCAUGGCUUCCUUAUAGCUAUUAGGUUCAUCAAGAUUUACUAGUGUACCAUCACUAAUAUACGUGUCCCCUUCGGUAGUAAUAUGAAAGCCAUAAAACUGGGGAUGAACUCUAACUCUAUCGGAACGUCUAAGAGGUAAGGAUUCGUCAAUCGGUUCAACCGGAGUUUCCUCCUCGGGUUGAGUGCCAGCGGUAGAGGUUCCUUCAUCUAUCGACUCUUGAAUCUCUUCAAGUUCGAUUUGCCUCCCACUGUCUCCUUGGCUUAUGAGUUCUCGCUCUCGGAAAACUCCUCUCCUCGCAACGAAGACAACAUUGUCCUUCGGUCUAUAGAAGAGAUAUCCAAAGGAUGUCUGCGGGUAGCCGAUGAAAAUACAUCGCUCACUUCGAGGUUCAAGCUUGUCGUGAGUAUCUCGUCUUACGAAAGCCUCGCAACCCCAAACCUUGAUAUGUGCCAACGAGGGAGCUUUCCCUGUCCACAUCUCGUGAGGUGUUUUGGCAACCUUCUUAGUAGGGACUCGGUUAAGGAUAUGGGCGGCAGUCUCUAAGGCAUACCCCCAAAAAGAGAUUGGUAGUGAAGCACGACUCAUCAUAGAGCGAACCAUAUCCAAUAAGGUUCGAUUACGCCUUUCUGCCACACCAUUCAACUGCGGUGUCCUAGGAGGCGUCAAUUGUGAAACUAUUCCACACUCCUUGAGAUAAUCGUGGAAUUCAAGACUUAGGUACUCUCCUCCUCGAUCGGAUCGAAGCAUCUUGAUUUUCCUGCCCAAUUGAUUCUCCACUUCAUUCUUGAACUCUUUGAACUUUUCAAAGGUGUCUGACUUUUGCUUGAUUAAGUAGAUAUACCCAUAUCUACUAUAGUCAUCGGUAAAAGUCACAUAGAAGCGGUUCCCAUCCUUCGUGGUUGAUCUAAACGGUCCACAUACAUCGGUAUGUAUUAGGUCCAAUAGACCCUCGCCCCUUUCACAUGUACUCGUGAAGGGUGACUUAGUCAUCUUUCCAAGCAAACAAGACUCGCAUGUGUCAUCUUCCCUAAGGUCGAAUGACUCCAACACUCCAUCCUUUUGGAGUUGGGCUAUGCGUUUCUUGUUGACAUGUCCAAGACGACAAUGCCACAAGGAUGCUUUAUCCAUACUAGUGGAAGAAUCAAUAUUCAAAACAUCAUUUCCUAAGUUAUCAACAAUCAUAACGGUUUCAUAUAUUCCAUUACAUGGUAUAGCUUCAAAGUAAAAGACACCAUUUAGAUAAGCCAAAAUAGAACCAUUCUCAUUAUUAAAAGAAAAUCUAAAUCCUUGUCUAUAUAAACCAUGAAAUGAAAUGAUGUUUCUUGCCAUUUCUGGCGAAUAGCAACAAUUGUUCAAAUCUAAAACUAAACUAUUCCUAAGCACUAAAGAAUACACUCCAAUCUUGGUCACAGGCGACGAUCUUCUGUUCCCCAUGAUUAGAUUGAUCCUUCCUUGCUCCACAUCCCUACUUCUUCUUAGUCCCUGCACAUUAGAACAAAUGUGAUAACCACAACCGGUAUCAAGAACCCAAGAAAUAGCAUGAUUAGAAUCGUUAGAUUUGAUUGUGUAUAUACCUGCGAAAGAUGGCUUGAUCUUUCCUUCUUUGAUUGCUUGCAGGUAAUCUGGGCAGCUUCUCUUCCAAUGUCCUAUCUUGUGGCAGUGGUGGCACUCUGCCUCCUUCGGGUUAGAGCAGGGCUUAGCGGGAUCAACUUUGGUCCCACUAGAAGAGGCACCAUCUCGGGCUUUCACCUUGCGAUAGUUCUUCGAUGAAGCUUUCCUCUUCUUUCCCUUUCCUUGACCAAUAGCCAAGACAGGAGCAGCGGGCGGAUUGGGAGUAGGUGCAACAGACUUGUCCUUGAAGUUGCUCUCAGCGACCCUCAAGAGACCUUGGAGUUUGCUUAGGGUGACCUCUUCUUUGUUCAUGUGGUAGGUCAUCCUAAAUUGGUUGUACAUCGGAGGCAAAGAGUGAAGCACCAUGUCGAUCGCCAAGUCUUCACCGAAGUCAACAUUUAACUUGCGAAGGCGGUCGACAUACCUUUGCAUCUUUUGCAAGUGCACGGUAAGAGAUUCUCCAUGACCCAUCUUCGCGGAAAUCAUGUUAGUGAAAAUCUCGUACCUCUCUUGUCUCGCGUUUUGGUGGUACCUCUCCAAUAAGUCUUGAUGCAUCUCGUACGGGUACAUGUCCUCGUAGGACUUUUGGAAUUCGGAGUUCAUGGUGGCGAUCAUGAUGCAAUGUACCUUCGUUGCAUCUCGCUCAUGAGUCUCAAAAGCGGUGAUUUCGGCGGGAGUAGCGAUUUCGGGGUUGAUUUUCUCGAGCUUCUCAUCGAGGACAUACUCCUUAUCCUCAUAGCGAGCAAUGGUGCGAAUGUAUCUUAUCCAUUCGCUAAAGUUCGUUCCAUCGAAGGUGACCUUUUGGCAAAGGCUCAUCAACGUGAAAGAACUAGCAGCAGCGUUGUUUGCGUUCGACAUCUACAAUUAGAAAAGGACAAAGAUAGAUUAGAAUAAGAAUCCCUAAUUAUCACCCAAUAAGAAAAUUAGGGCUAGGAUCCAACAAUAACAUUUACAUACUAGAAAAGGGAUGCCGUAAUCUAACAUGCAAAUAAAUUGAAGGUAAGUGAAUGACGAUUCACUAAUUCUCCAUCACAAAACUUAAACUAUUAGUCCUAAGUGUUUUUGAGAAUUCCUAGGUUCGGAUGAGAUUCAUUGAAACUAUUCAAUGGCAUGUUUAAAUCUCGAUAUGCCCCUCUUGUUUGUGACUGGGAUACCGAGGAUCACAAAGCGGGUGUGAAUUACCAUGCAAAUUCACAUGGUGCCUUCAUUGUAACGAUCACCUAUUCGAUGUGCCGGUAAACCACACACGCUCCAUCGAACUAUGAUAAACAAUGAAUCACCCUUUGCCACCUUCGCUUAGAACCAAUUAGUGUGCCGGUAAACCACACACGCUCCACUAACAUCUUAGCAAGGUGCAAAGUGUAAUUUCAUGGGAUUGCAUCAAUUCACUUUUCCUAAAGUAACUAGGAUUGGGAAAUUUUAAAAUAUGUGUAGUUACUUUGUAUUUCUUAUUAUACUUUUAAUGAGAGGAUGAGGUUGCCCUAUCCUACCCGUUCGGCUAACGACCCUCCACCAAUCAAGCAAGCGGUGGGUGUGAGUGUACACCCAUUAAGCGCCAUUUUAUAGGCCGCAACCUUAUACCCACCUUAUAGAUCGGCUUCGUGAAUGAGGCCUACUAACGGUAAGACUAGCAUUUAGUUAUACAUAUAUAUAUUAUUCUAGUAAUAUCAUAUUAGUAUAGGGUUGUAUUUUAAAACUUUUAAAAUCUAGGGUUUGAAAUUUAAGUUGUCUAAAUUAAAACUUUUAAUCACAAAAGUAAAUUUCAAAACAUGAGGGUAGGUUUUAAACAUUUAAAACAUGGAGGAUCAAAUAACAAAUAAUUCCAAUUAACAAUUAAUAUCCUAAUUAUCUAUAUUUGAUUUAUUCAAGAUUUCUUUUAAGAUAAUUACCAAAAUAAUCAAAAUAAUUAAUUAAUUAUCAUAUAAGGAAAUUAAAUAUUUAAUUAGUUGAUAAUUACCUUUAACUAGAUCAAGAUAAUAGUUAUAUUUAUCAGAAAAACGAAUUAAUAUUGAUCUAAUUAGUUUAUGGUAAGUUAAGAUAAGAUAAACACAAAGAAAUCCCGAAUCUGGCCAUUCCUGACGCCUGGACUCGCCGAGUGCACAAGGGGACUCGCCGAGUCAGGCCUACUCGCCGAGUCCACCUUGGGACUCGCCGAGUCAGUGACUCAGAAACCAAAAAAUCGAAUUUUGCAGGUUUGUUUCAGUUAAUCAAGCAACAAUUUAAAGAAAACCAAGCUAGGCUCUGAUACCACUGAUGGGUUUUAGCCAUAAGAACUUUCCUAUGUGCGCAUGCAAAACCCUAUUGCUCGGAUCUAGGCUUUCUAAUUAAACAUGCUUUGAAUCCAAGACUUCUAAUAGCUAAUUAGGUUAAAUAACAACAUCGAAACAGAUCUAGAAUCAUACCUUUGAGUUCCUUGUUGAUCUUGUUGUCUUGGAGCUUCUAGAGUCACAAAUGUCACUCCUCUAAUGGCUUACAAACACCAAUAGCAAGCAAGAUGAUUUAGGAGAGAGGAGAAGGGAGGAAUUCGGCCAGAGGUUCCUUACUUUAGGUUGUGUGUCGAAUUCCCUCACCCCUAGGGUCUAUUUAUACUUGUAGACUCCUUAAGGGUUACCACCUAAACCCUAAUUGGAUAAUCUUCUCUUAAGGCUAUCCAAAUCCAUUCCAUAGAUAACCCUAUGGACGAUUUUGGCUUAUCCAAGCCCUAGAAAUCGUCCAUCCUAUCUAGGAUAAGGAUUUAUAGUCUAAAGUGUAACUAUCAACCAAUUGACAGUUUAUACCCUCUUAUUUAAUUAAUCUCUUUAAGUCACCAAAUUAAUUCGAAUUAAUUUAUGACUUAUAUUAAUCAAAUAACCAAAUAUUAUUCCUUAUAAUAUUUACUCUCUUUUUAACAAAUCAUCCAUCAAGUUGCUAUGGUGAAGGCAACCCAAAAGGACCAUGCACAACCGGAUAUAGUUACAGCCUUAGACACUAUUCCAACACUUUGGACGAACCUACACAAACUACAAGUGAUACUUCUUCAGCAAAAAGUGCAUGUUGUGCACAUGCUUCAAAACGAAAGGCCAACAUUCACAGAAAUCCAAAACAGGUGGCUGAUCGCAAACAUCAAAAAAAUCUGAGAUACAAGAAGAAUCUCUCAGAGAGAAAACUGUUUUGGAAUUCUCAAAAUCCUGAUUUUGUAAGGAUUGAAAGGAAGCAAAAAUCACAAGAAGAAUCAAGGAACCGAAAGGAUGGGUUCGGUCCUUCAAUCAACAGGAACCGAAAGGAUGGGUUCGGUCCUUCAACCAAUAUGUAACAGCCCGAAAUCUCAGGUAUUGUUUAAUUAUGUUUUUGGGGUGAGUUGAGAGGGGACUCGGCGAGUUGGAGCCUAGACUCGCCGAGUAGGAUCGCAGACCUGGUCGCGGGUCCGCGACUGGACUCGACGAGUCCAGAUAUGGACUCGGCGAGUCGACGCUGUUCAGCAGAAACCCUAACCGUUCGGUUUUGGAUCGUAUAUAAUGCUCUUAUAUGCCGUCAUUGUUCGUUUUUAGUCGAUUGAGAGGAACCCUAAACGGUUGUGGGCAUCUAGAGCAAGAUUGGAGGAUAUUAGGGCUUGAAGAGGUUGUGGGGCAAAGAGGAGAAAGGUUUUGGCUAAAGGAACAGCAAAGGAUUCGAGUUCUGCGGUUUGGAGACACAGAGAGGGCAUAUUCCAGGUAAUAUUUCGGAUUCCCUUCUGUUGUUUGAUGUGUUUAUGAAGUUAGGGUUUAUGAAACCCAUUUAGUGAAUAGAUGGGUUAUUAUGUUAUUACCCAAACGUUUAUACCCCAGUAAUGAGAUGUUUAGAAGUCCAGAAAGUCCCAUGGUUGUAUAUCUCGGGACCACACGUAAUUCAGGAAGCAGUUGCUCGUCUGCAUGGCAUGGACUCGCCGAGUUGUUCUUCAGACUCGGCGAGUAGCUUGAAGAUUUACUGGGACUCGCCGAGUUGUUCUUCAGACUCGGCGAGUGGAGUCGGGGUGGCCCCGCGAUUCUUCCAGGAGUAACUCGUCGGGUCGAGGAGGAUACUCGACGAGUAGAUAAGGAAUCUCAGAAAGUUGGAGGACGUCUAGACUCGCCGAGUCGCCAUGGUACUCGCCGAGUCCGGUCGAGCUGACCGUUGACCGUUGACCAGAGUUGACCUAAGUCUGACUUCUUAGGGAUAGUCACACUUAGAUGAUAUGAGUGUUAAUGAGUUAUGUAAUGUUAUAGGAGGGUUGUAGCUCGUUGGUUUGUGCGCGAGUGAUUUCAGGAGUUGCUAGCUUUCAGCACUUACGAGGUGAGUCUUCUCACUAUACUGUACCCGGAAGGGUUUGACUGUGUGACCGGAAGGUCAAGUAUGUUAUGUAUUAUGUUUAUAUGCUAUAAGUGGUAAGUUAAGUGUUAUAUGGAUAUGUAUGCUAUAAGUGGUAAGUUAAGUGUUAUAUGGAUAUGUAUGCUAUAUGUGGUAAGUUAAGUGUUAUAUGUGCUAUGUAUGAUAUGUGGGCCGGAAGGCAAUAUGUUAUGGGCCGGAAGGCGAUUAUGUUAUGGGCCGGAAGGCGUUGUAAUGAGGACCGGAAGGUCAGGGCCUGGAAAGGCGUAUGUGCGUAAGUGUAUAUUGGGGAACUCACUAAGCAUUUAUGCUUACAGUUGUUGUGCAUGUAUUUCAGGUACUAGCGAGGACCGUGGGAAGGCGCCGGCAUGAUCGAUACACACUGAAGAUUGUUUUAUGAUCUUGGGAGUUUGAAUAAUUGUAUUGACCGAAUAAUUAAACUGUUUAUGCCUUGUUUUUAAUGGAAAUAAUUAUGUUUUAAAAAUGAAAAAUUUGUUUGAAAAAUUUGAGUUGUUACAAUUGGUAUCAGAGCCUUGGUUUGAGGGAUUCGGGUGCACCUUCGGGGGUAACUGAACUCAAACCGAGGAUUUGAGGAAACUUUUCAAAUAAAGGCAUAAACUUUUGUAAAUGGUUUUGUGGUAAGCAAGAAAGAAGCAGUGUGUACGAUCAGUCAGCGCCCGAACGGUAAAGAUCCCCAAAAUACCUUACAAUAUUAUAUGAUAUGAAUUGUUAUGCAUGCUAGAAGACUAGGUAUUCAUGAUAGGACUAGAGUGGCCUGAUUUGUGAUGCCUUAGUCUAGGGAAGUUGCCUAUAUGAGAUGCUUUGCUAGUAUGCGGGUAGAUAGAGCGUAUCAGAAGUAGAGUACUCACUAUCUGGAGUUUGGGGAGGAGGACUUGGGAUGAACAUUGAUGCGGUGUGGUCGGUAGUAUUGGGCCCGUACUACCGAGGACACCGGGUCAGUGGGAGGCCCAAGUAAGAAUCCCUGGAUAUCUGGGACUGAGUAGGGUUGCGUGUCGAGUACGAUUAUACUCGGUAGAAUCUCUGAUAGUUUUAUGUUGUAUUUCAGAGAUAUCAUGGUUAGACCGCGGCACGGGGCAAGUACGAGCGGUGUGAGUGACGAGGAUAUUCGUCAGAUGAUCCACGAGGAGGUGGCGGCGGCGAUCCGGGCUGAGAUCCCGGAGAUGUUUGGGUCUAUCAAGACCACCCUGAUGGAGACGUUCGACGAGCGGUACGCCGCAUUGACUGAGGCUGCAACCGCUGCAGCUACCGCAGCUGUGGCCGCUGCUAGGCCACAGGGGGGUGAUUCAUUGCUGUUCCGAGAGUUCAGCAACACGAAGCCACCAGAGUUCGAUGGGACGCAGGAUCCGAUUGCUGCGAUGAGGUGGAUCGCAGAUAUAGAGGGGUGCUUCUACACUUGUUCAUGCCCGGAGCACCUGAGGGUACGGUUCGCUUUGAACCAGCUCCGUCUGGGAGCCAAGGACUGGUGGAAGUUCGUGACGGCGAACUUCACUUUAGCAGAGACUGCGGCAGUGACAUGGGAGGGGUUCACUACCAUGUUCAGGGAUGAGUACGUUCCCCCGGUGGAGCGGGAACGAUUGGUUCAGGAGUUCUUAACCCUCAAGCAGGGUACUGAUUCGGUGGCGGCGAUCACGCGGAAGUUCCAUGAGAGGGCGAUGUUUUGCCCCGAGCUGGUGGCCACAGAGCAGGCUCGGAUGAGCCGGUACUUGGGUGUUCUGAGGAGGGAGAUCCGGGAGUUUGUGUCAAACUCCACUUACCAUACUUUUACUGAGCUUCAGGCGAAUGCCAGGAAGCGUGAGAUCGAGUUAGAGACUCAGGCCAGGGAGGAGGCCGAGUCUCAGCAGGCAGACCGGCGACCGGCUCAGUCUCAGCCGGCAGCCAAGCGGAUCAAGUCCGCCGAUUCGAGGACGGGAGGUUCGAAGAACCGCACUUGCGUAAAGUGCGGUAAGGGUCACGAUGGGGCGUGUCGAGCCGGUGCUUGCUACAAGUGUGGCAAGGAGGGACACAUUGCUAGGGAGUGUCCCAAGGGAUUUAUGGUUUGCUUUCAUUGCAACCAGACCGGCCAUCGGAAGGCCGAGUGCCCUCAGCUUCGUCAGGGAUCUGCACCUGUUGCCAGGACUACUGAGACUCGACCGGUGAAGGUCGAGGCCCCGAGGGCUCGUGGGAGAGCCUUUCAGCUGACUGCGGAGGAGGUCCGCGCUGCGCCCGAUGUUGUGGCAGGUAUGUUGUAAUUCAUGUAAUUAUUUUAAUGUCGAUAUGUUAUGCUUAUGUUAUUAUGCGCGUAGGUACUUUCCUUGUGAACUCUGUGCCUGCCUUAGUGUUAUUUGACUCGGGUGCGAGUAGGUCCUUUGUGUCCUUGGCCUUUAGUCAGCAUAUUGGCGUUAGUCGUGAGUCGUUGAGUCGACCUUUGAGAGUCUCUAUAGCUGACGAGAAGGUGAUUUGUGCUACGGAGGUUCUUCGGGGAUGUGUACUAGAGAUUUUCGGGGUUGGAUUCCCGAUUGACCUGAUUCCUAUCGCGAUGGGGGAUGUCUGUGUCAUCGUGGGCAUGGACUGGUUGAGCCGGUUCGGCGCUGUCAUCGACUGUGAGCGUCAGUUGGUGACUAUACGAGACCCAAGUGGGGGAGUUCUUUCGGUAUACGGCGAGGGUACCCGUUCGGGAUCAGCUUUUUGUUCGGCCGCUAGGGCGAGGCAGUGUCUACGGCAGGGCUGUAAGGGUUUCGUGGCGUAUGUGAUGGAUACGCGGGAGGUUUCUGAGAAACCGAAGUCAGUUGAGGAAGUUCCGGUGGUGCGCGAGUUUUCAGAUGUCUUUCCCGAGGAGUUGCCGGGAGUACCGCCUGUGAGGCAAGUAGAGUUUAGUAUCGAUCUGGUUCCGGGGGCAGCGCCUAUUGCUAAAGUGCCCUAUCGUCUUGCACCUCCAGAGAUGCAAGAGUUGUCCUCGCAACUCCAGGAGUUGCUGGGGAAGGGAUUCAUUCGGCCGAGCAGCUCGCCAUGGGGAGCACCUAUUCUGUUCGUCAAGAAGAAGGAUGGUUCACACCGGAUGUGCAUUGAUUACCGGGAGUUGAACAAGCUAACGGUCAAGAACCGUUACCCGUUGCCGAGGAUCGAUGAUUUAUUCGAUCAGUUGCAGGGAGCAUCUUGGUUUUCCAAGAUCGAUCUGAGGUCAGGAUACCAUCAGGUGAGAGUACGGGAUGAGGACGUCCAGAAGACAGCGUUUAGGACGCGAUAUGGGCAUUAUGAGUUUGUGGUGAUGCCUUUUGGACUCACCAAUGCCCCGGCUGUGUUCAUGGAUCUCAUGAACAGGGUAUGCAGGCCGAUGUUGGAUCGGUCAGUGAUUGUAUUUAUCGACGACAUUCUGGUGUAUUCGAGAUCUAGAGAGCAGCAUGAGGAGCAUUUGAGGGAGGUCCUUGAGGUAUUGAGGUCGGAGAAGCUUUAUGCAAAGUUCUCCAAAUGUGACUUCUGGUUGCGGGAGGUCCAGUUUCUAGGACAUGUGGUUAAUCAGAAAGGGAUAUUGGUCGAUCCGGCCAAGGUUGAGGCGGUGAUGAGUUGGGAGGUGCCGAAGUCACCCUCUGAGAUCAGAAGUUUCCUUGGGUUGGCAGGGUAUUAUCGGAGAUUUAUCAAGGAUUUCUCCAAGAUCGCAGUGCCACUCACCAGAUUGACCCGGAAGGGUGUUACAUUCUCAUGGGGGCCCGAGCAGCAGACCUCCUUUGAGACACUUCGCCAGAGAUUGUGCGAAGCCCCGGUAUUAGCUCUCCCAGAAGGGAUGGAAGAUUUCGUGGUAUAUUGCGACGCAUCGAUUUCGGGAUUGGGUGCAGUGUUGAUGCAGAGGGGUCAUGUGAUAGCUUAUGCGUCGAGGCAGCUGAAGCCUCAUGAGGCGAGAUAUCCCACGCAUGAUUUAGAGUUGGGGGCAGUAGUGUUCGCUCUCAAGAUUUGGCGUCACUACUUGUAUGGGGUUCGAUGUACGAUAUACACGGACCAUAAGAGUUUGAAGUAUUUGAUGGAUCAACCCAACCUAAAUAUGCGUCAGAGGAGGUGGUUGGAUGUGGUCAAGGAUUAUGAUUGUGAGAUCCUGUACCACCCAGGCAAGGCUAAUGUGGUAGCCGAUGCAUUGAGCCGCAGGGCGGAGAGCACUCCAUUGCGAGACGUAUGCUUGAGACUGACUGUGAUGACUCCAGUAUUGGACGCUAUUCGUGGGGCCCAGGCAGAGGCUGUGCGACCAGAAAUGCAGAAGAAAGAGCGGGUUGUGGGGUUAAUCUCAGAGUUUGUCAAGGAUAGUCGAGGCCUUAUGACGUUUCAGGGUCGGAUUUGGGUGCCGUUCGUGGGCGGUACGCGUAUUACGUUGAUGGAAGAGGCUCAUAAAUCGAAAUUCUCGAUCCAUCCCGGUGCUACAAAGAUGUAUUUGGAUUUAAGGAAGGAAUAUUGGUGGCCCUGUAUGAAGAGGGACGUGGCAUGGUUCGUUGAGAGGUGCUUGACCUGCCGUAGGGUUAAGGCUGAGCACCAGAGACCGCAUGGCAAGUUACAGCCAUUGGAGAUCCCCGAGUGGAAGUGGGAACAGAUUACUAUGGAUUUUAUCACCAAAUUGCCGAGGACUGCUAGGGGAGUUGACGCAAUUUGGGUGAUCGUGGAUAGGUUGACAAAGAGUGCACACUUCCUUGCCAUCAGUGAGAGUUCUUCGGCGGAGAAAUUGGCGGAGAUAUACGUGAGAGAGGUGGUAUCUCGGCACGGGGUGCCGAUCUCGAUUGUGUCAGACCGUGAUGUGCGCUUUACUUCCAGAUUCUGGAAGAAAUUCCAUGAGGAGCUGGGUACUAAAUUGCAUUUUAGUACCGCAUACCAUCCCCAGACAGACGGUCAGAGCGAGCGGACAAUUCAGACACUGGAGGACAUGCUCCGAGCGUGUGUGUUAGACUUCGGGGGUAGUUGGGAUGCGUAUUUACCAUUGGCAGAGUUUUCCUACAACAACAGCCAUCAUUCGAGCAUUGGUAUGCCGCCUUUCGAGCUGUUGUAUGGUAGGAGGUGUCGGACUCCCAUUUGCUGGGGAGAGGUGGGACAGAGAGUGAUGGGCAGCACGGAGAUCAUACUCCAGACGACAGAGCAGAUUCAACAAGUGAGACAAAGAUUAUUGACUGCCCAGAGCCGACAGAAGAGUUAUGCAGACAGGCGCCGAUCCGAGCUUGAAUUUCAGGUCGGCGACUUCGUUCUCCUGAAGGUCUCUCCUUGGAAAGGAGUGAUUCGGUUCAGGAAGAGAGGCAAGUUGGGGCCCCGGUAUAUUGGGCCAUUUCGUGUGAUUGCAAGGAUAGGUCGGGUAGCCUAUCGGUUGGAGUUACCAGCGGAGUUGGGUCAGAUCCAUGACACUUUUCAUGUGUCGCAGUUGAGGAAGUGCAUAGCCGAUGAGUCGGCAGUGGUUCCAUUGGAGGAUAUUCAGGUGGAUGCGAGCCUGAAUUACGCGGAGAGACCAGUGGCUAUCAGGGAUCGGAAGAUCAAGGUUCUGAGGAACAAGGAAGUACCUCUGGUGUUGGUUCAAUGGCAACACCGUAAGGGAUCAGAAAUGACUUGGGAACCGGAGCGCGAAAUGCGGGAGCAGCAUCCGGAACUAUUUGCAGAGUGAGACUUCGAGGGCGAAGUCUAAUCCAAGUGGGGGAGAAUUGUAACAGCCCGGAAUCUCAGGUAUUAUUAAAAUUAUGUUUUUUGGGUGAUUUAAGAGGGGACUCGGCGAGUUGGAGCCUAGACUCGCCGAGUAGGAUCGCAGACUUGGUCGCGGGUCCGCGACUGGACUCGACGAGUCCAGAUAUGGACUCGGCGAGUCGACGCUGUUCAGCAGAAACCCUAACCGUUCAGUUUGAAUCGUAUAUAACGCCUCUUAGGCCGUCAUUUUCCGUCUUUUGAUCGAUUGAAAGGAACCCUAAUCGUUGUGGACGUCUAGGGCAGGAGAGAAAGCUAUUGGAACUUGGAGGAACUUGUUAGACAAGAAGAAGAAGAAAUUGGCCAAAGGAAUAUCAAGGAGGAUCGAGUCCUGAGGUUUGGGGAACACAGAGGGAACGUUCUCAGGUAAUACUCGGAUCAAUUCUGUUAGUUAAUGUGUUUAUGAACCUAGGGUUUAUGAAAAACCCAUUUAGUGAUUAGAUGGGUUAUUAUGUUAUUACCCAGAUGUUAUACCCACAGUAAUGAGAUGUUUAGAAGUCCAGAGGGUCCCAUGGUUGUAUAUCUUGGGACCAUACGUAAUUCAGGAAGCAGUUACUCGUCUGCAUGGCAUGGACUCGCCGAGUUGUUCUUCAGACUCGGCGAGUAGCUUGAAGAUUUACUGGGACUCGCCGAGUUGUUCUUCAGACUCGACGAGUGGAGUCGGGGUGGCCCCGCGAUUCUUUCAAGGGUAACUCGUCGGGUCGAGGAGGGUACUCGACGAGUAGAUAAGGAAUCUCAGAAAGUUGGAGGACGUCUAGACUCGCCGAGUCGCCAUGGUACUCGCCAAGUCCGGUCGAGCUGACCGUUGACCAUUGACCAGAGUUGACCUAAGUCUGACUUCUUAGGGAUAGUCACCCUUAGAAGUUAUAAGUGUUAAUGAGAUAUGUGAUGUUAUAGGAAGGUUGUAGCUCGUCGGAUUGUGCACGAGUGAUUUCAGGAGUUGCUAGCUUUCAGCAUUUACGAGGUGAGUCUUCUCACUAUACUGUACCCGGAAGGGUUUGACUGUGUGACCGGAAGGUCGGAUAUGUUAUGUGAUAUGUAUGCUAUAUGUGGUAAGUUAAUUGUUAUGUGUGCUAUGUAUGAUAUGUGGGCCGGAAGGCAAUAUGUUACGGGCCGGAAGGCGAUUAUGUUAUGAGGACCGGAAGGUCAGGGCCUGGAAAGGCGUAUGUGCGUAAGUGUAUAUUGGGGAACUCACUAAGUAUUUAUGCUUACAGUUGUUGUGCAUGUAUUUCAGGUACUAGCGAGGACCGUGGGAAGGCGCCGGCAUGAUCGAUACACACUGAAGAUUGUCUUUAUGAUCUUGGGAUUUUGAAUAAUUGUAUUUGACAGAAUAUUUAAACUAUUUAUGCCUUGUUUAAAAUGGAAACAACUAUGUUUUUAAAAAUGAAAAAUUUGUUGAAAAAUUUGAGCUGUUACACAAUAGGAACCGAAAGGAUGGUUUCGGUCCUUCAACUGACAGGAACCAAAAGGAUGGUUUCGGUCCUUUGACCAAUAGGAACCGAAAGGGUGGUUUCGGCCCAAUGACUGAAAACAACCGAAAGGGCAGUUUCGGUCCAUUCUCCAUCUACAACCGAAAGAGCGGUUUCGGUCCCUCAUCCUACAACAACCAAAAGGAGAGUUUCGGUCCUUCAUCCAAUGUCAAAUGAAAUUGCAAUUUCGGUCCUCCUGCUUGCAAGUCUGAUCAACAAAACCGGGAAUCUAAUGUCUCUUCUAAAUCCAAUUCUCUAAAUUCCUGUUCCUCAGCCAAAAACCCCAGUUGGUCUUUGGUGAUCAUGUUCGAGGUCUACCAGUUCUAAAAUUUGAUAAAGAACAUCUCUAUGCAGCAUGUGAAAUGGGAAAGCAGAGUCGGAAGAGUCAUCCUUCUAUUAUCAAUACUAAGGUGAUAGAACCACUGGAAUUACUGCACAUUGAUCUAUGUGGUCCUUCGUCCAUCGAAAUCAUUGGGGGAAACAAAUACGUUCUGGUUAUUGUGGAUGAUUUCUCGAGGCUUACAUGGAUUUUCUUUCUCAAGCAAAAGUCUAAAGCUACUCCAAAGGUCAUGCUCUUCAUUAAACAAAUCGAGACACAACUAAGAAAGGUAGUCAGUAAUAUAAGGAGUGACAACGACCUGGAAUUCAAGAAUAAAGAAUUUGAAGGUUUUCUUGCUGAAAAAGGGACGACUCACAAUUUCUCAGCUCCCUAUACUCCGCAGCAAAAUGGCAUUGUUGAAAGGAGAAAUUGGUCACUAUGUGAAGCUGCUCCUACCAUGUUAUGCUUCAUGUCCUUGCCGUUAUAUUUCUGGGUUGAUGCAAUCGCGACUGCAUGUUAUACUCAGAAUCGAUCAUACUUGAAUAAACAAUUCUCAUCUACUCCUUACGAGAUCCUAAACAAUCGAAAACCAAACGUGAAAUUGUUUCAUGUGUUCGGUUCAAGAUGUUUCAUUUUCAACUCCAAAGAGAAUCAAAACAAGUUCGAUGUCAAGGCAGAUGAAGGAAUUUUCUUAGGAUGCUCCUUGAACUCCAAGGCGUAUAGAGUUCUCAAUAACGAUCGAAGAAAAUUGAAGAAACAUACUACGUCACUUUUGACGAUAGUUAUGUUAAGAAGUUGAAACCCAGAGAAGAUGCAUCACAAGACAUAUUUUCUAAGAAUGGUUUGGUUACUAUCUCUAUCUCGAAUCUUUUCGACCAAUUCAUGCUCUUGUUUGAUGAGCCUCAAAAGGCGAUUGACUCUAAAUCAAUUGCAAAAGACAACAAAGUUGAUAAUCUGAAAGAGGUUAUAGACGAAGUUACUAAGAAGAUGGCUGAAAAUCAAUCCAAAGACACCGAAUGCACAAACGCAACCGAACCUUCUAGUGACCAACCUACUGUCCAGGGGGAGGGUUCCUCUACUCCUCAUGAUCAAGGUCCUUCAUUCCAGGGAGAGAACUCAUCGCCAAAUUCAUCAAGCUCUACUGAAAUUCCAGUCAAUGUAGAAGAUACAAAUGCUAGUGGCUUAUUCUUCGAGGGGGAGAACACCAAUGUUGGUGAUGAUGACACCAUGUCUGAACUAGGGGAAGAAAUUAAUGUUGAACUAGAUCCUAUUUAUUAUUCAACGUUUCCUCCACUUGUCAAAUGGACCAAAGUGAUGGGUUUUAGCCAUAAGAACUUUCCUAUGUGCGCAUGCAAAACCCUAAUGCUUGGAUCUAGGCUUUCUAAUCAAACAUGCUUUGAAUCCAAGACUUCUAAUGACUAUUUAGGUGUAAUAACAAUAUUGAAACAGAUCUAGAAUCAUACCUUUGAAUUCCUUGUUGAUCUUGUUGUCUUGGAGCUUAUAGAGUCACAAUUGUCACUCCUCUAAUGGCUUACAAACACCAAUAGCAAGGAGGAUGAUUUGGAAUAGAGGAGAGGGGAGGAAUUCGGCCAGAGUCUCUCUACUUUAGAUGGUGUGUCGAAUUCCCUCAGCCAUAGGGUCUAUUUAUACUUGUAGACUCCUUAAGGGUUACAGCUUAAACCCUAGUUGGAUAACUUAGACUUUAAGUUAAUCCAUAUCCUUUCCUUGAUAACCCUAUGGACGAUUUUGGCUUAUCCUAGCCUUAGAAAUCGUCCAAUCCUUUAUCAAUAAGGAUUUACAGUCUAAAGUUUAACUAUCAAGCAAUUGACAGUUUAUACCCUCUUAUUUAAUUAAUAUCUUUAAGUCACCAAAUUAAUUCCAAUUAAUUCUAUGACUUAUAUUAAUCAAAUAACAAUAUAUUGUUCUUUAUAUUAUUCUCAUAAUAUACUAAUAAUAUUUACUCUCUCUUAAUAAAUCAUCCUAUCAAGUUGCUAUGGUGAAGGCAACCCAAAAGGACCAUGCACAACCGGGUCAAAUACUUGCCUAAUAUAGUUGUAGCCUUAGACACUAUUCCCACACUCUCCCACUUGGAUAAGUCUAGUAACUAUAUGCACAAGUACAAUUCGGUUUGCAAUCGUAGCUCUCAAAGACGCUGUCAAACUCUGAUCUAAUCAAUCUUGUCCUUUAGAUAAGGGAUCGUACAGUCCUCUGUUAGAUAUCAUGCUAACAAUACUAUGGAAUAGUUAGUCAAGCAUUUGGUUUCUCAAUUUCUGAUUUAUUUGACAUAGAACUUAAUCGAACACAUCAAUUCAGUUCUGACCGGGCCCGACACAUUAGUCAAAUCAAAUCAUCGAGCGGCCGAGAUAUCACUUUUUCUUUCUUAGGAUAAAAGUUACAAAUAAACUUCGACUUAUAUGCAUUUACUUAUUCAUUAACUAACCAUACACAACAAUGAGUUUUAUAACAUCGAGUUACCAAUGCGUUUUCGCAUUAUCAAUGUACAAUCACUUAACCAAUAACAAACCAUAUAUCUAGGUUUUAAGACUAUAUGAUAUUAUCGUAUUGCGAUCACCCUUUUAUAUCAUAUUCCAUUACGAUCUUCCAGCAAGCGCGGGUUUGUUCCAAUGCUCAAAACUAGUUCAUAAGCACUCAUGAACGUUGCAGCAAUCUUUUGCUAUGUCUAACACCAUUUAGACACUCUACAUACCUAUUCAUGACAAUCUUCAUUCAUAUCUACUUCUAACAUAUGAACUAUUGUGGACUAUUUGAAUAAUUCGAUUAUUCCUAAUAAACUCAAUUAUUUUGGAAGUCAAAACAUACAAAGUGAAACAAUAGUUAAACAAUUAACAUAAGAUAGUAACAUUACUUAUAAAUAAAACUCCUUUAUUUAAUCAUCAAAUGUUAAUUACAUUUAUCUAUUACACGUUUCUAAUACUAUCUAAUCUAUGCUAAUAUCAUCCUUCAGCCCAAUGCUCCUAGCAUGCUGCAAGUGCUUAACCCUACUCAGUCCCUUCGUAAGCGGAUCUGCUGGGUUAUCUUCUGAUGAUAUCCUCUUAACUACGAGUUGUCCUUCUUCUACACGAUGUCUAAUAAAGUGAUAUUUUCUGUUGAUAUGUCUUGAUCUACCAUGAUCCCUCGGUUCCUUGGUCAAGGCAACCGCUCCUUCGUUAUCACAGAAAAUCUCCAUGGGCUCCUUUAUAGCAGGUACAACUCCAAGAUCACCGAUGAAGUUCUUUAGCCAUAUUGCCUCCUUCGACGCUUCGCUCGCUGCAAUGUACUCUGAUUCGCACGUUGAAUCAGCUACGGUUUCCUGCUUGGAACUCUUCCAUGUCACUGCUCCUCCAUUUAGGGUAAAGACCCAGCCCGACUGCGAACGGUAGUUGUCCCUGUCGGUCUGAAAACUGGCGUCACUAUACCCUCGCACCUUCAAGUCAUCACUCCCUCCGAGGACUAAGAACCAUUCCUUCGUCCUCCGAAGGUACUUAAGGAUGUUUUUCACCGCAAUCCAAUGUGCUUUGCCAGGAUUCCCUUGAUAUCUGCUAACCAUGCUCAAAGCGAAGGCUACAUCAGGGCGAGUACAAGUCAUAGCGUACAUGAUUGAGCCAACUGCGGAAGCGUAUGGUACUCGGCUCAUUUCUGCUAUCUCAGCUUCGGUACUCGGACUUUGAGUCUUACUCAAUUUGGCAUUACUUUGUAUCGGUAGUUCUCCCUUCUUUGAGUUUUCCAUACUAAAACGUUUUAGUACCUUCUCUAAGUAAGUAUUCUGACUAAGUCCAAUUAGUCUCUUACUUCUUUCUCUUACUAUCCUUAUUCCUAAAGUAUAGGAAGCCUCUCCGAGGUCCUUCAUAGCGAAGCACCUCCAGAGCCAGGACUUAACCUCCUACACAGUCGGGACGUCGUUUCCUAUGAGUAAUAUGUCAUCGACAUAUAGAACGAGGAAGCUUACUAUACUCCCACUGGCUUUGACAUAUACACAAGAUUCGUCUUUGCUUCGUACAAAUCCAAACUCUUUGACUUUCUCAUCGAAGCAAAGAUUCCAUCUGCGAGACGCUUGCUUAAGUCCAUAAAUGGACUUCUCAAGCUUACACACUCUAUUCGGAUGCUUCGGAUCCACAAACCCCUCUGGCUGAGCCAUGUAAACAUCCUCAGCCAACUUUCCGUUAAGGAAAGCGGUCUUGACAUCCAUUUGCCAAAUCUCAUAAUCAUGAAAUGCGGCAAUUGCUAGCAUCACUCUAAUAGAUUUAAUCUUCGCAACUGGUGAGAAGGUCUCAUCAUAGUCAACUCCGGGAGUUUGAGUAAAGCCCUUCGCGACCAAUCGCGCUUUAUAUGUGUGUACGUUCCCAUCCACGUCGGUCUUCUUCUUGAAGAUCCAUUUGCACCCAACGGUCUUACGUCCGGGCACGUAAUCAACCAAAUUCCAAACUUGGUUAUCAUACAUGGAUUGGAUCUCGCUAUCCAUUGCCUCUUUCCAUUUUGCAGACUCCGGGCCUGCCAUGGCUUCCUUAUAGCUAUUAGGUUCAUCAAGAUUUAUUAGUGUACCAUCACUAAUAUACGUGUCCCCUUCGGUAGUAAUAUGAAAGCCAUAAAACUGGGGAUGAACUCUAACUCUAUCGGAACGUCUAAGAGGUAAGGAUUCGUCAAUCGGUUCAACCGGAGUUUCCUCCUCGGGUUGAAUGCCAGCGGUAGAGGUUCCUUCAUCUAUCGACUCUUGAAUCUCUUCAAGUUCGAUUUGCCUCCCACUGUCUCCUUGGCUUAUGAGUUCUCGCUCUCGGAAAACUCCUCUCCUCGCAACAAAGACAACAUUGUCUUUCGGUCUAUAGAAGAGAUAUCCAAAGGAUGUUUGCGGGUAGCCGAUGAAAAUACAUCGCUCACUUCGAGGUUCAAGCUUGUCGUGAGUAUCUCGUCUUACGAAAGCCUCACAACCCCAAACCUUGAUAUGUGCCAACGAGGGAGCUUUCCCCGUCCACAUCUCGUGAGGUGUUUUGGCAACCUUCUUAGUAGGGACUCGGUUAAGGAUAUGGGCGGCAGUCUCUAAGGCAUACCCCCAAAAAGAGAUAGAUAGUGAAGCACGACUCAUCAUAGAGCGAACCAUGUCCAACAAGGUUCGAUUACGCCUUUCUGCCACACCAUUCAAUUGUGGUGUCCUAGGUGGCGUCAAUUGUGAAACUAUUCCACACUCCUUGAGAUAAUCGUGGAAUUCAAGACUUAGGUACUCUCCUCCUCGAUCGGAUCGAAGCAUCUUGAUCUUCCUGCCCAAUUGAUUCUCCAUUUCAUUCUUAAACUCUUUGAACUUUUCAAAAGUUUCUGACUUUUGCUUGAUU
rnacentral:lncRNA from 1 species